CGUCGCUCGGGAGACUCAGUGGUUCCGCGGACGCGGCCGCUCCCGUUCGAUGCUUUCGCGUCGCCGAACGCAUUUGUUUCCCGUCCGAAGGACCCCGCAACCGGUUCGGAAACGGCCUUGAGGGUCGGUGAUGGCAGUUGGCCGGUGGCCCGUGCAAACGGGUCGUCGGUUGUUAGCCGUCCGAUCUUGGCUCGUGUCCGGACCGUGGUGUCGCGAGGCCUGUAUGGGCUUCUUCGCCUCCUCCGUUCGCGGACGCCGGGAAUCUGCGGCAGGGGUUCGCACUUCUGCGGGCGCACGGACCGACUCCGUGGCCCAGCGGUCGCAUGCGUCCUCGUUGGCUGCGGUCUUUCCCGUCGGAGGUUGGCGGUUAGCGGGGAGUAGAUCGGUCACCCACCCGACCCGUCUUGAAACACGGACCAAGGAGUCUAACAUGUGUGCGAGUCAAUGGGUCUCGAAUAAGCCCAGAGGCGCAAUGAAAGCAAAGGCAGGACUCGACGCCUGCCGAGUUGGGAUCCGCCCGCCUCCGCGCGGGCGGCGCACCAACGACCCGUCCUGUCCCAUUCAUGGGUUGGGCGGAGUUUGAGCAUACACGUUGGGACCCGAAAGAUGGUGAACUAUGCCCGGGCAGGACGAGGCCAGAGGAAACUCUGGUGGAGGUCCGCAGCGGUUCUGACGUGCAAA
rnacentral:rRNA from 1 species